CGGGGAGUAGCGUAGUCCGGUUUAACGCGCCUGCUUUGGGAGCAGGAGAUCGGAGGUUCGAAUCCUCUCUCCCCGA
rnacentral:tRNA from 1 species